rnacentral:lncRNA from 1 species
ACUUUUUCACCGGCUUGCAGUCAGUCCCUCUUUGAUCACAGAAGACAUCAGUUGCGAACAUGAUGCGCUCUAUGACAGUGUACAGUGCUUUAGCCAGCCGCUCCUCCGGCUAACCGUCCCUGAGAGAAAUCUGCCAUCUCGCCGACGCGUUUGAAGAAGGCUUUCAACUUCAACUGAGUUCAGCGCACAUAUCGUUAGCAUUAGCCAUACCAAUCAAAUAUUUUCCCUUUUUACAGGCCGGUGUCUGAGUACCGCAUGUCCGCCGUAUAUCUGAGUGACAGCGCGUAUCAUUGGACAUGAAAUCGCGGACUGCGGGGAGGAGCCCCUCACAUCUGUACCAAAGGUGGAACGAGAGAAAACAAAUCUGCGAGGCGUCGUCAGCGGGCAGCCGCCUCCCGCUCUCGCUUCAGUCGGCCAACCCGGGACCGAGAUGUAUAGACGGAUCCAGAGCCCCAGCUGGCCUUCUGCAGGCCACACUACAUUACAAAACUUGUUCUGGCUGUUGGGAACAUCAUCUCUCCAUCACAAGCUCAAAAAAAGUAUUUAUUUAGUAUUCUUUUUCCCUCCCCACAAUCCACCUGUGCUACAUUUUAUGGAAUGCAGGCUGCCGGGUGGAACAGGGGCUGCCCAAACAAAGACAGAUGAAGGACUGCUGAACAGUCAAAAAAAGUGUUCUACCUACAAGCUGAAUCCGAUUACCGGGAGAAUAUUUGGCCUACCUAGGAUUAGAGGGUUUGAACUGGUCGGAGAUUUACAAAGAUGACAUUCUAGUCAAAUUGACAUCGUCUCUCACAUCCAUCUUCAUUUGUUGCAAGAUGUGUCCUUCUGCUUGAGUGGUGAACUCAGUGGUUUGACUGGAGUGAAACAUAGUCAGAGUGACUCUUGGAGGUAGUUUUAGGAUUUAUUGAUGAUACCAUGGAAGGAGGUUUGCUCUAGGCAAACUAGAGUUGCUUUAAAAUGCCAAGGGACACAGAAUUGACAUGACAGCAGGUUUUUCUUUUCUUUUCCCCCUUUUUUGUUUUUUCAUUUUUAAUUCUGGUUGUCGAUGUUGUUGAUGACUUGUUGUAUUGGUGUUCUCAUUGUUGAAUAAAAAGAAAAUUGUAAAAAAAAAAAAUGCCA